GAUCAUGGCUCAGGACGAACGCUGGCGGCGUGCUUAACACAUGCAAGUCGAACGAGAGGACAAGAGAAGCUUGCUUCUUUUGGAAUCGAGUGGCAAACGGGUGAGUAACACGUAAACAACCUGCCUUCAGGAUGGGGACAACAGACGGAAACGACUGCUAAUACCGAAUACGCUUGGGAGACCGCAUGAUCUUCCAAGGAAAGGGUGGCCUCUACCUGUAAGCUAUCGCCUGAAUAGGGGUUUGCG
rnacentral:rRNA from 1 species